AGGUCGUAACAAGGUCUCCGUUGGUGAACCAGCGGAGGGAUCAUUACCGAGUUUACAACUCCCAAACCCCUGUGAACAUACCUUAAUGUUGCCUCGGCGGAUCAGCCGCGCCCCGUAAAACGGGACGGCCCGCCAGAGGACCCAAACUCUAAUGUUUCUUAUUGUAACUUCUGAGUAAAACAAACAAAUAAAUCAAAA
rnacentral:misc_RNA from 1 species